UACGUAGGGUGCAGGCGUUAAUCGGAAUUACUGGGCGUAAAGCGUGCGCAGGCGGUCUCUUCAGACAGGUGUGAAAUCCCCGGGCUUAACCUGGGAACUGCGUCUGAUACUGGAAGGCUUGAGUGCGGGAGAGGGAUGUGGAAUUCCAGGUGUAGCGGUGAAAUGCGUAGAUAUCAGGAGGAACACCUGUGGUGUAGACAGCUUACUGGACCAUUUCUGACGCUGAGACACGAAAGCGUGGGUAGCAAACAGG
rnacentral:rRNA from 1 species